AGUAAAGCGUUCGCGUUUAGUAAUCCACUUAUAAGCAUGAAGACAUCUGUAUAAACAAUCGCGUUUUUUGCAAUAAUUGUCCAAGGUCGGCUCACUCUCUGCAAAAGUAGUAUCGGUUGAUUUUUGGUGGAUGCGCCGGUUUCGUGAUUAAGCGGAACAAUUAAACUUGUGUUAUUUCUAAUGCAAAGUGAUGGACAAUGUUCGUCCACUCGUCAUUAAAUAAUCAUAAAAUUGGAGUGCACUUUUACGAGAUGAAAAUUCGGCAGCACAGUAAACAAGCUUUUGCGGCUCCAAGACGUCUGGCGUCUAUUGAACUGCGUUUUCCCGAUUACUCCCAACAUACUUAAUCCGACGUCAAGUCGGGACAUUUCGUUCAGUUGAAAAUUUCCAAAAUGACACAGUAUUUUCACUCGAUUUUCAAUCUAAGAAUCGGAUGGUUUAUCCUAGUCGUCAUUAACUUCAUUUUUGGCAUUUGUGGGAUAAUCACAUGUACACUGAAACUAAAGCAUGGGAGUGAACAAGCACGGGAUGAUUUUUUCAAGCUUUCGAUAGUGUUUGCAACAUGUAAUCUGAUCUUAAGUGUGUUGCUUCUAGUGUCAGUCAUUAAGAAUAAUCAAAAAUAUGCAUUUCUGUGCGCUUUUUUGAGCUUUUUGAGCUUAUUUUCGGCGGUGAUUCACGUCGAAAUUGGGACGACUUCCAAUGUUACGUUUAUCAUCGUGUUUGUAGUUGUUGGAUCGAUUUUAGGAGCCUUAUUUUUGUUCUGGUUUUGCAUUUAUGCGUCGUAUCAGGUUCUUUACCAACGCAAACAAGAAAUGGAACAGGCUUACAUGUCCCCUAUUUGAACCACCAGUGUAUUACAAUAACUGAAGCAUUCCGAUUAUAAAAAACAGGAAAGAGAAAACUGGACCAAAGUACCUGCAUGAAAACAACAUCUUGAAAUAAAAAGUACUCACCUGUGUUGUUACAACUUUAGUCAUUUUUUAUAACUUUAUUGAAAAUAAAAUGUAUUUGUUUUAACGUCACAAUAAAUAUAAAAUUACAAAACAAGUUAUUUUGUGGCAUUAACUGAUUGAGGGUCUGUGACACGGCCAGCAAACAAUACAAAUCGCUCUUUCGCAACGAUAUAAAACAAAAAUGGAUGAUCAACCUCAAAAUUCUGAGGGACUCCAAAGAAGCCAAUUCUGUCGAUACCUAUAACUGAAGAAUUGGCAAAAUUAAAAACAUGUCAAUCAUCAGCAUCCAAGCUAAAGUAGAGAAGAAAAAAGUAAAAGUAUUUUCCCACUUUAUUUAACUGGCAUCCUUUUAAUUAAAACAUACAAAAUUCGAAACACUAUUUAAGGUUGGAAACUCGUCCUCCGAAUAAAAUAACAUUUUUUGUGGUGAUGUAAUAAAUGAAGGGAUGAUCGGCAACGAAGAUUUUUGGGUCUUUGUUUGGCGCAUACUCGAGCGAAAUGCGAACUGCCUGGACUGAAACCAAACCAAAAUUUUGGACAACAGCUAUUAAAAAGACAUGCCAGAAAUAAGGAAAAAACAACCAAAGCUAGAAAUUUUAUUCAGAAGUCAUACAUAAAAAAUUAUACAGCAAAUAGUAUAUAAUGCGUUCAAGGCGUGUUAUACUUUCCAGCCAAUAACACAAACUCGUUCAACUUCAAGUAGAAAACGAAUGGGUGGUUUGCUUUAAACUGCUUUACAUUUCCAUGCUGGGGUGGCAGACUUAAAGUAACCACAACUGAGGCUAAAAUAAUUCAAGUGUAAAAGCACAGUGUCGUACAGGGCGCGAAACAGGACAAUUGUCUACUUAAAAUUAACUCGACCAGCAAAGAAUAUUACAGAUUUAAGUUUCAAGUAAAAAAUGAAUGGCCUGUCAACUUCAAUUGUAUACUUUGGGGGCGCUGGGAGAGAUUCAGUGCUAAUAACUGCAAAUAACAUCAAAAAUCAAUACCAAGAAAAACUUUAUUAAUCAGAGAAUACUUUUGUUAAGUAGACAAUACGUAUAAACUACCACUAAUUAUCACAUUAACCGCAAACAGCAAAGCUUUAUUGUGGCGACACAACUCUACCAACGAGUAAAAUCGUAUUAUUAGAUUUUAUGUAAAAUAGAAAAGGGUGGCGGGCAAAGAAAGUAUAAACCAAUUUUCUAAC